AGCAUCUAUUUGACAGACCAGGAACAGUUACUGUCUGUUGCUGAGGUUUCCACUACAGAUGCAAGAAAAAGUGCCCUUGUGCUUUCUGUCUUAAUUAUGGCAGCCCAGAUUAAAUGGGGGAAUGCAAAG